rnacentral:lncRNA from 1 species
GUUUAUUCCUUUUUUAAAGUUGUAAAAUUGAGUUUCAAUGUUUAUUAAAGUAUAGUCUUUUUCUAUGUCUUUUAAGCAUUCUUGCCCUUCUGCAUUAAGUAGAGUAUAAUUUUUAAAAUAUUCUAAGUUAUCUUCUAAAUUUUUGUUUUCUUUUAACAGGUUGCUAUUUUAGCAUUGGUUAUUUUGGCAAUCUUCGCAACAUGGUUUAGAAAUUAAUUUUUUUUAUGUGUUU